UGGAUCUGUGAUGAUCACUGGUGCCGUAUGAUCGUGGAUCAUGAAUACAGGUCUGGGAGUCUGAGGUCCAC